rnacentral:tRNA from 1 species
GGGAGUAGCUCAGUUGGCUAGAGCAUCAGCCUUCCAAGCUGAGGGUCGCGGGUUCGAAUCCCGUCUCCC